GGGAGAUGUCAGGAUGUGAAAACAACCAACAUUAAGUAGAUAUUUUGUGCCAGCACGAUAGCAAGUGUCUCCAAUAUGCUUUUGUCUUCUGUUCAAAGAUGCUAAACUGGCCUUCAUCAAACAGCCACUAGCUCAACUUGCUUCUGCUGUCUGUGAACACAGAGAACGAGGAUGGCUAAUGCAGCUGGGGCCCAACCAUGGAACAGCUGCACCGAGCAACUGAGACCCUUCCUUGGAAACCUCAGCACAGUUCACGAGCUGCAGAUGCAUUGCAGUGACUGAUUAAAAAAUACAAGAUGAAAUAUUGCAGCUAUCAAUAAUUCCUGCACAUGGCUGACUUCUAAUGAAAGAAUAAAGUUUCUGAGGGAGAGAGAAGAAAUGAAGAAAAGGGGUUUUUUAUCAAUUUCAGAGGAACACUUUGAUAUAAUCCUGAAAAUUUCUCUUGGUGAAAUAUUUUCUUUCAUUACCCUCCAUCAUACAGUGUUUGUUUAAUUUCCCCCUUUCAGCAGGACUCUCUCCAGCAAUCUGGCUCUGCAUCCAGCUUGACCACCUCGCUCUGUCUUGCACCACUGAUUAGACCCACCUUGGAUGACGGUAGAUACAGCCAUGCAGGACUAUCCACUUUGCUCAAUGUCCCUGGUUUAUUACAGGAUCAUUGUUGUGACAGAAACAUGUCAGUAAUGGCUGCUUUCCACUGAACAAUGACUCCUAGGCUGUGGCUAUGCAAGCAAAGCGAAGAGGAAAGACGAGCAAUUAUCCAGUGGAUGUGAUCCAUGCUGACAGCCAAUCUGGAUAAUUCAAAUAGAAACAACUUCCUUUGCCUCACUGGCAGGUUUGGGGCUUGAUUUAGUGAGAUCAUUGUUUAACUUUCUUUGCCUGUGGAAAUGCGGUACAUGUGUCUGCUGGUUAAGUGAGGGUUUGGGGGUUAUAACCACAGCAUCUGUUAAUUUGACAUUCAAGUUUCUCUGUGGGUUGGAAGCCCUUGUGUCUAAAAUUUAAAAGUAGCAAUACGUACCAC
rnacentral:lncRNA from 1 species